GGGUGUAAUAGCGCAAUCACAGCUUCCUACAGCCUUGACCUCCUGAGCUCAAGCAGUCCUUCCACCUCAGCCUCUGGAGUAGCUGGGACUACAGGCAUGCACCACACAUACCCAGGUAUUUUUUAUUUAUUUAUUUAUUUUUGUAGAGACAGGGCCUCCCUGUGUUGCCCAGGCUGAUGAACUGUAAUUUUUAACACACACAGUGUAGGGAAUGUGAAAGACUAUCACAGAGUAGAAGAAAAAAUUAUUUUCAGGGUUAGCAGGUGGAUUGUCCCAAGCAGUCACACUAGAAUCUGUGGACUGAAGCCACAUUUGCCAGCUCCAGGCUUCUAACACAUCUGAAACUGUGUACGUAGAACAGCUAGCUCAAUGCCUGGCAUAUGGUAAGCACACAGUAAAUUAGUGCCUUCCUCUUCUCCGUGGUUCCUUAAAACUGGCAACGCUAAAUUCUCUCUUUCAGUAUCAUGGAUAUAAUUUGUCCCAGCAACUUUAAUUCAUUUAAAGCAGUUAGAUGUUGUUUUAUAAUAUCUUCAGUUUUCUCUCACCAAUGUGUUUUCUAAUUGUUUAAACACUUGAGUGUCAAACAAUUGCCAGCCACCAUACUAAACACAACAUACAAAGAUAGAUAAAUAAGACACCAUCUCUGCCCUCAAACCAGUCACCAUCAUUUACUAAGCACCUGUUUUGUGCUAAGUACUGGGGUAAGCCUUGGGGAUAUAAAGAUUAAUAAAUUUUGAGCAUACAGUCUAGUAGGAGGAGACAAAUAAGUACAUAAGUACCAGGAAGUAUUAGGGGUGCUACAGUAGAAGAGUAAACACUAUGUACAGAGAGGCCAGAAAGGGAAAAGGGUCAGGCAGGGAAGGGAACACAGAGAGUGACAAUGUAUAGUUUGAAAGAUGAGGAUGCUUUAUUUGCAAACUAUCUUAACAAGGGAUUCAUAACCAGAAUAUAUAAGGAGCUCAAACAAUAGCAAAAAGAACAAUCCAACUUAAAAAUGGCCAAAAGAUCUUAAUAGGUAGUUUUUGAAAGAAGAUACACAAAUGGCCAACAGAUAAAUCAAAAAAUGUUCAACAUCACUAAUCAGAGAAAUGGAAAUCAAAAUCAAUGAGAUAACAUCUCACCCCAAUUAAUUACUUUUAUCAAGAAAGAAUGAAUGCUAGUGAGGAUGUGGAAAAAGGAGAGCCCUGCCUGGUACACUGUUGGGAAUGUAAAUUGGUACAGCCACUGUGGAAGACUACAGAGGUUCCUCAAAAAACUAAAAAUAGAACUAUGCUCCAGCAGUUCCACUACUGGGUAUAUAUAUAUCUCCAAAAGGAAAGAAAUCAAUGUAUCAAAAAGAUACCUGCACUCCCAUGUUUAUUGCAGCAGUAUUCACGAUAGCCAAAACGUGGAAUCAACGUAAGUGCCCAUCAAUAGAUGAAAGGCUAAAGAAAAUGUAUUAUUCAGCCAUAAGAAUGAAUGAAAUCCUGUCAUUGGCAGCAACAUGGAUGGAAUUGGAGGUCAUUAUGUUAAGUAAAAUAAACCAAGCACAGAAACAAAUAUUGCAUGUUCUGUCUCACAUAGGAGUUAAAAAAGUGGAUCUCAAGAAAAUAAAGAAUAGAUUGGUAGUUACCAGAGGCUAGGAAGGAUGGGGAGGAUGAAGAGAGGUUGACUAGUGGGCACAGAUAAUACAGUUUGAAGAACUAAGACUGGUGUUGGAUAGAUCAGGGUGGCAUAGUUAUUAAUUUACUGUACAUUUCAAAACAGCUAGAAGAUAAUUUUGAUGGUGCCUAAAUCCUGUAAUCCCAACACACUGGGAGGAUCAGUUGAAGCCAGGAGUUCAAGAACAGCCUGGGCAACAGUGAGAUUUCAUCGUUACAAAAAAAUUUAAAAAUUAGCCAGGUGUGGUAGUGCACAUCUGUAAUCACAGCUACUCAAGAGGCUGAGACGGGAGAAGCGCUUGAACCAGGGAGGUGGAGGUUGCAGUGAGCUGAGAUGGCGCCACUGCACUCCAGCCUGGGUGACAGAGCGAGACUCCGUCUCAAAAAAAAAAAAAAAAAGGCCGCGCGUGGUGGUGGGCGUCCUGUAAUCCCAGCUACUACUUCGGAAGCUAAAGCACGAGAAUCGCUUCAACCUGGGAGAUGGAGGUUGCAGUGAGCUGGGAUCACGCCAGUGCACUCCAGUCUGGGCUGUAGAGUGAGACUCUCAAAACAAAACAUCACUCUGGCAGCACUGUAGAGAAUGAACUGGUAGGGGCAAGACUAUUUGGAGACUUGCAGUAAUAUUUCAGGCAAAAUACGAGGAAGGCUUAAACUAGGGCAAUGAAUGAAGGCUGGAGAGAACAUGGGUUUGAGGAAGUUUAAGGAGAUAGCAACUGCAUACUUGGUUGCCAUUUGAGUGAAGUGAAAGGAGAAGUGGUAUCGAAAAUGUUAUUUGGUGUGUUUCGCUUGGAGAUAAUUAAUUCGAAGUGAUGCCUGCUGUAACAGGUGUGCAUAGUGCUGUAGAGGAUGCUUACAGUUCAGCUUAGGGCUGUUUGGAAGUAGGGUCCUGAAGUCAUUCGGUCUGGGGGUCAUUGUCCUAAACAGAGAAGAUAGGAAGGAAUAGGAGCUGAGCAUUUAGAGGUAUUCUUUGUGGUUUAAUAUUAUACCCGUGGGUCAUCCUCAAAAGAUGUGCCCUUAUUUCCCCGGGGACUUUCGGAAACCCCGCUACGACCCCGCGGAACGUUCCGAGGGGAAGCGUCUCUAGGCCACCAGAGGGCGCCAGGCGGGCCGCAGCGACUCCAGAGUCGCGUUAUGGCCGCGGUGCGGGUGCAGCUGCUCCUGUCCGGGCGUCCGGAGUCGGUGAGCUUCGCAUGGAGUGUGUGUGGCCUCCUGGGAGCCGGACCAGGGCUCGGGACGUGGCCCAUUCACUGCAGCUUGAAGCGAGGACGGCUUGUCCUCUCGAGCAGGCCCUUCCCAGGCGCCUCCGCUAGGCUUCCGCUCCAGGUCGGCAGAAGGGGGCCCCAGAGCGGGGGCAGUGAAGGGCCGAAGAUGGGGACUGAAAUCGGGUGGGAACUUGCGGCGAGGACCCCGCCCCCAACGCGCGGUGUAGCCCCAUUUUUGGAAGUCACGCCCACCCAGUGCCGCCCUUCUGAAGCCUUAACCCAGCUGGCUUCCUUCUGCCAGCGACCCCCUUUCUGCCCUUUUGCGGCCCUGGAGGAGCGGCCCAGGGUCCCUGGGGCUGAGCUGCCCACAGAUCGAGGUGUGGACCUGGGUGUGGCCGUCAUUCUGCAGUCCAGCGACAAGACUGUCUUGCUAACCCGAAGGGCACGCACCCUCAGCGUUUCCCCCAACCUCUGGGUACCCCCGGGUGAGUAUUCUGGGGACAAGGCCCCAAGUACAGAGAAGAAAUUUGCCCUUUCCCCGCAACAAUGUUUUUCCCAGUCUCAGAAGGAUAAAGUGGGCCCCAAAAUGUGGCAUGUUCAUAGUCACAAGGGACUGCAGCUCCCUCUGUGUCCACUGGAGGGGAGAGGAGUGUCAACAGUGAGUGGGGGCUCCCUGGCCAAGACCACCACCAUUCACCUACUGGCCCCACUGUUGUUGCAGGUGGGCACGUGGAACUUGACGAGGAGCUGCUGGACGGAGGGCUUCGAGAACUUUGGGAGGAGAGUGGACUACACCUGCCCCAGGGCCAGUUCUCUUGGGUCCCUCUGGGUUUAUGGGAGUCUGCCUACCCUCCUAGGCUGAGCUGGGGUUUACCCAAAUACCAUCACAUUGUUCUGUAUCUACUCGUGAUCUCCCAGGAAUCACAGCAGCAGUUGCAGGUUUUGAUCACGAACAGGCAGCCCAGGGAGAGGCAAUGACUGAGGGGUCACCAUGUCUGAACCCAGGCCCGGAUCCAACCAAACCCAAGUGAGGUGAGCGCCCUUCCGUGGCUGACACCAGAUGUAGCUGCUGCAGUGGCUGCCACAGAGGAUGGGACAGAGACACCCGGACUUCUCCCCCAGGACCUACCACCCUCUGUCCUUGCAGUGGAACUAGAGGAGGAUGGAAGAGCCUGACCUCUGGUCCUGCACAUGUCCACCCUCCUGCGGAUGAUCCCAACCAUGGCAGAGGACAAAGAGAGAGUCAGCACUGGAACCAAGUUUGCCCUCAAGCUCUGGCUGCAACAUCUGGGCAGGUAAAAGUGAAAAAGGACUGGAGAGCUCCACAGUACUGGGCUGGAAUGGUCUAGUUUUUACAGGCACGGGGGAAAGCAGGGAAGGACAACCUCUCUUGGAAUUCCUCCAUAGAACACCCCCACCGUGUAAAAGUGCAGCUUACCUGGACCCAGGGCCAGCAAAGGAAGAAUGGAACAUGGACCCUCUUCCCCCAAACCAGGGGUCUGGAAAGUGAAGUGUAAAAUCCCCUCCCUAGCCCAUCUCCAUGACACUCACAGAACAUUCACAACCUUUAUUGUGGGUGAGAGCUUCACUACAACUUUAGAAAUAAGAACUAAAAUUACAACAUAGGUCCUAGGCCUUGGCGAGCCUGAAAAAGAAGAUUGGGAAGGAGGGCACAGGGUCUUUCCACCUCCCUGGAAAGGUGCAGAAUGAGCCAGGCCUAACUACAGGGCCAUGAGCCUCUAGAAGCUUAGGGUGGAAUAAGAAACACUGUGAACUUAAAUAUAUAAAUAGAGAGAGACCCAAGCAAUAGGCCGGGCCUGACUCCCAAACCCCUGGGGAUCAUGGCUAAGGCCUUACAUCCUCCUCUGUCAUACUGGAGUAGGAGGCAGGGGAAGUCAUCUUUGGAGUAUUUUGGUUUUUCUUAUUUAUGUACAAAAAAGUCCACAUCCACAAUCCAAAAUAAAGUUCUCUGUCCAUCUCUGAAACUGCCUGUCUCAGUUUUUCCACCUGUCUGUUUGGCCGAAGGGAAUGGAAUGGACAUGAGACAAUGGAUGUGAAGAAGAAAUAGAGCCAUGGGUUUGGGUAAUAAGAAGAGAGAGCAUUUGGGGUUCAAGAGAGGUGCCCCUUCCCCAAGAGGCUCUAGACGUAGUCAAGGCUGAGGGUUCAGCCCUUCUCCUAGCUCACAUACCAUCCCAUUUGCCUCCCACUGCCUAGGUUAACAUACCCAAAGGAAUGUGCCACCAUCUAAAGAACAUUUCCAGAAACAGACCCCAGUGUCCUUAAAAAGAGGUUAAAUAUUAACCCUUUGGGUGCUGGCCUUGUCAGGCAGAGAUGAGGCCAAAAGUAGGCAUCUGUGAAGGUCUGUCUGGCCAUUGGCCAGAGCCCCCAGAGGGAUCAGAGUAGCUGGGGUUGGGACUCCACAGCAUACUUGCUCAGUGUUGGGGGACAGCGAAGUUUCCAUAAUCCAGGGAACUCAGUCCAGGGAAAUGAUGUCUGACCGACAGCCAGUCAAAGAGGGACCUGAGGGCAGGGGUCCUCCAUGCCCCUCCCUCAAGGCCCCCCCAGGGGCCACAAUGCUGCUGACACGGCCAGGAGGGGGCGCCGGAGUGGCGCUGCAGUGGGAGCUCCCCAGCGUGGGGGCCAGUGGGCCCAGAAAGUGAGAAGGGGUCCCUCGGUACUGGAAGAAGUGGCCAAGGGCAUCCUGUUCAUCUAGUGAGGUGAUGACAGAGGGGCCAUAGUGCUAGGAAGAAUCAAGGGCAUAGUUUAAGAUCUCAAUCCUGACUUCCCCACCUCCCAAUCACUCAUCUCAGAAAUGCCGUAUGAGAGCAAUCAACCCCUGUGGAUCCGAAGGUAUUCUCUUGAGAAGCAGGAGAGCCUCUCCCUCUUUCCCCUACUUCCCUACACCCUUCCCCUUUCCCUGCCUUGAGAGAGCUCCUCCAACUUGUUAGGUUCUUGGCUUUGUGGGCGUCUGAAAUGUGUGGAAUGUCCGGUUAGAGCAGGCAUGGUGCUCUAAGUGCACACGGGGGUAGGGGUGAGUAGGCCAGGGCAGAAAACUAACAGGGGAUCUAGGAAGGAGGCCUAAGUAGGAAUCUCAGGAACUACCAGUGGGGCUGAGGAGAUAAUAAGAUACCUACACCCCACUGCCCUCACGGGAAAGCAGAUUUACAUCCCCAGAGAUCAUAAGAGAGGGAGGGGCCCCAUCAGUGUCUAGAAAGGAAGCUUCAGAGAUCUGAGACCUUCUGAAGAAAGAACCACUUACCUGACUCUCUGUCUGAAGAAAUGAAAAUAAAUCUAAACCUGGCAGGAAAAGAAAAAUCAAAAUUAACCUCCUAUCUGACCCCUUUACCACCAAAAGACAAAGCACUUUGGACUGUGGCCCCUUGCAGGAGAAGCAGGAGGCUUUGAGAAGGAACAGGGGUUCUGAUGUAGCUCUGGGGAGGGUGUGGCAGUGCAGGGUCCAUCUUAUGAUCCAUGUCAUACCUUGGAUGUCGGCUCCCAGUGGGAAGGCAGGUGGGUACUCAUGUAGUGGGAGACUGGACAGGAAAUCCCCACCCAACGUGCCCAUAGCAGGGCUCCUUAGCACCGAGGAUGGCUGGUGGCCAGAUGUCAGGACUCUGUGGGUAGAGAGGAGCUGAGGCAGCCAGCAAACCACAGAUGCCCUCACCCAGCUCAGGUCCCCAGGUUCCCUCUCUGUCCCCUCCACAUUUCUCUUGCCCCAGGCUUUGUCCAAUGAUCAGAAAGCAAUCCUGACUUCUUCCCCUGUCCGUUUUGCUGUAGACUCAGCCUAUUUUCUCAUACCCUUUGCUUCCAGGUAGGGCCGGGAUGGCAGCUGAGGUGACAGAACAGUGCUUCUUGGUAGGAGGCAGAUCCUCCUCAUCUGAUGAGCUUUCUAUUGUCAAGUCAAUAACUUCGACCUUCUUCUUAUUCUCUGAUGGAUUUCCCCCCUGGACUGGGCUGUACUGGAGGCCUGCGGGUAUUAAGAAGACUACGUCUCAGAGAAGAGGCCAUCCAAGAUUUAGCUUAGCUGGGGAACAGGGGGUCACUCACCAUCCAGCCCAUACCCUGGCGGGGGGCAAACCUCAGAUGCCUCCUUCUUGGGUUUCAUUGGGCACCAGGAUCCAUCUUCCAUGAAUUGGAUCUCAUCACAAUCUGAACAGGAACUAAGAAUCUCCAUAAAUAAACUGGGGGAAGAGAGAGAUGAAAAUUCAUGAGGCUGGGAGAUGAGCAGAACAGUAGCCAGAGUUCUGUAACUCACCUUCCUGUAUCUCAGUCUCCUCAUCUGUAAAAUAAGGACAUUAUCCAUCCUACUGGACCGCUCUGAGUUGUUGGAAUCAAAUAACACAAGGUAUGUAAAAGAGCUUUGCAAAGUAAGUAAUAGGUUUUAAAAUAAAUACAAUCUGAGGCUGGGUGCAGUGGCUCACGCCUUUAAUCCCAGCACUUUGGGAGGUACCAGCAGGUGAAUCGCUUGAGGCUGGGAGUUCAAGACCAGCCUGGCCAACAUGGUGAAACCUCAUCUCUACUAAAAAUACAAAAAUUAGCCAGGUGUGGUGGCACAUGCCUAUAAUCCCAGCUACUUAGGAGGCUGAGGCACGAGAAUCGCUUGAACCCAGGAGGCAGAGGUUGCAGUGAGCCUAGACCACACCACUGUUCUCCACCCUGGGCAACAGAGCAAGGCUCUGCCUCAAAAAAAAAAAAAAAAAAAAAAAAGCCAGCGUGGUGGCUCACGCCUAUAAUCACACUUUCAGAGACUGAGGUGGGUGGAUCACCUGAGGUCAGGAGUUCGAGACCAGCCUGGCCAACAUGGUGAAACCCCAUCUCUACCAAAAAUACAAAAUUAGCUGGAUGUGGCGGCACAUGCCUGUAAUCCCAGCUACUCAGGAGGCUGAGGCAGGAGAAUUGCUUGAACCCAGGAGGCAGAGGUUGCAUGAGCCGAGAUCACGAGACUGUGCCAUACCACUCCAGCCUGGGUGACAGAGUGAAACACCGUCUCAAAAAAAAAAAAAAAAAAUCUGAGCACUUACGUGUAGUAUAAGGAACAAAAGGAGCAGAGACACAGAAGUCCAUAAACCAUCUCCAAAAGGCACUGGGUCUUUGGCUUUCUAAACACUUGUGUAAAAAUAAAUAAAUAAAGGCACUAGGGGCCAGGCAUGGUAGCUCAUGCCUGCAAUCCUAGCACUUUGGGAGGCCAAGGUGGGAGGAUCACUUGAGGCCAGGAGGUCGAGGCUGCAGUGAGCUAUGAUUGUGCUACUAUACUCCAGUCUGGGCAACAGAACGAGACCCUGUCUCAAAAACAAACAAACAAACAAACAAAAAGUCGGGGAGCACUGGGAACAGGAACCAUAAUGUAGAUUCCAAAAAGAGGUUAAGACUAGCAAGAUCAAAAGAUUAGAACAUCCAGGCCCUCAAAAGAACGUUAUUGCAAUGCUCAGUGGGAAGUCAGGUAGUUGUUAUAGGUGAUAUAUUAUGACAGUUCAGUACACUGGCUCUGCCACUUAACAAUAUAACCUUGAGCAAGGCUCAAUCUCUCUCGGCCUCAGUUUCCUCAUGUGUAAUGAUACUACCUAUCUCAUAGGGUUUUUUUUUUCUUUUUUUUUUUUUCUGGGUGAGUGUCACUAGCCAAUCAUAGGAUUAUUUCUUUUUUUGAGACAGGGUCUCAAUCUGUUGCCCAGGCUGGGGUGCAGUAAUGCAAUCAUAGCUCACUGCAGCCUCAAACUCCUGGGUUCAAGCCAUCCUCCUGCCUCAGCCUCCUGAGCAGCUAAGACUACAGUCAUGAGCUAUUAUAACAUGCCUGGCUAAUUUUUUUAAUUUUUUAUAGAGAGAGGGUCUACUAUGUUGCCCAGGCUGGUCUCAAACUCCUAGCCUCAAAUGAUCUUCCCAUCUCAGCCUUCCAGUGUUGGAAUUACAGGUAGGAGCUGAGUCCAUAGGGUUAUUGUGAGGAUUCAAUGAGAUAACUCAUGCAAAGUGCUCAGCAAGAUGCCUUGUAUAUACUAAGUCCUUAAUGUUGCCCUCCCCCCCCACACACAUGCACAUACACACACACACACACAGACUGGUAAAAGGGAUAGAUAAGGUGAGAAUUGCAGUUCAUGUGAGGGGAAGUAAGCCAUAUGAAUUAAAAACCCUGAAGGAGGUGGUGGCUAAAAGAAAAAAGAAAUAUUAUAGGCUGGGCAUGUUGUCUCAUGCCUGUAAUCCCAGCACUUUAGGAGGCUGAAGUGGGCAGAUCACCUGAGGUCAGGAGUUCAAGACCAGCCUGGCCAACAUGGUGAAACCCAGUCUUUACUAAAAAUACAAAAAUUAGCCAGGCAUGGUGGUGGGUGCCUGUAAUCCCAGCUACUCAGGAGGCUGAGGCAGGAGUAUCGCCUGAACCCGGGAGGUGGAGGUUGCAGUGAGCCAAGAUUGUGCCACUGCACUCCAGCCUGGGGAACAGAGUAAGAUUCCAUCUCAAAAAAAAAAAAAGAAAAAGAAAUAACCAAGAAAAGAGGUUCUAGUGGAUGUCCUAGGUAAGAGGAAGCAAAAUGGCCCUACCCAUCAAUGAUAAGAGAUUCAUAGGGAGCCUUCUUGUCACACACAGGACAUGUCCAUGUAGGCUUCUUCUCAUUCAUCUGUAGAUAAAGGGCAGCAUCGAAGCUCUGCAGGUGGGCGCAGGUGAGGGCACGACAAGGGACAGUCAGGCGCAUCUUCCCUAGCUGAGGAGAAGCAAGUUCUCUUGUCAGAGGCCCUACUCUGGUUUCAUCCCAGAAAACUUCACGCCAGUAUCCCUAGGAACCCUCAUCAAAGUCCACAAGCUAAACCCAACUCCCUUCCCACCCUGUUCCCUUCUCCCCUUUUACCCACCGGGCACAUGAGUGACACCCGGAGACUUGUAGUGGCCACCUCACUGUCAGGGUCAGCAGUCAAUUUCUCCUUGACUGAAACAAAAGUGAGGCCAGAGCCAUGGGGUCAGCAAGGCUGGAGGAAGCCCAGGAGUUGGUAAGGCCAGGAACAGAUGGCUCUGGCUGAGAGGCUGCUGGGUGGAGCGUCUUUGGGGGCCAGUGGGACGUCACAUGGAAGUGGUCUGGGAUAUGGAUGAUGAAGGCUGGGUGUGGGGGAUUUUCCCAUCCCUGAAGAUGCUUAAACAUAGCGUGACACUCUGGCUAUGUUAGAGAUGAUCUGGAGGAGUUGAAGCAUCAUGUGAGGGUUAGAUUAGAGGACCCCUAAGAUUCUUUCCAGUCCGGAGAGCCCAUAUUCUAGCAGGGCUGGAGUUAGGGACUGUGAGGUGCAAAGCAGAUACAUGAUUGGAAAUUCAAGGGUGCCUGGGAGUGGUCCAAUUUCAACUAUAAAGACUGGAAGACUGGUCAGGGGUAGAGGGGGAGGGUUGGGGUUCAUGUGAGAAGGGGAGUAAGUUGUCAAAAAAGAGGUAUGGGUUUAAUUAUGAAGGCUGGAGGGCCAGGAAGACUUGAAUCCAGAUCAGGUGGGGAAGAGAGGAAAGAUGUUACUCACUCAGUGCCCGCGAGUGGUCUGGGUUCCGGAUACCCUUUGCUCUGAGUUUUUGUAGAAGGGUUCCUGCAGUCAACUGCCUCACCAGGUACACAGACAAGGAGUAAUUCUACUUGGAGGCAGGGGGUAGACAAUUAGCCUCUGCUUCUCAUACCACCACUGCCCACUUUUGUUCCAUGAGGACCAGAGACAGACUCAUAAAGAGGAAAAUGCUUCCCCAACCCAGGACACUGGAUGGUUCCCCUUCACCCUCAGCAGGCUUUUCCAGGCACCUGCUUUAGCUGUGCUCACCCGUCCGAACUCAGAUGACCAAUUGACCACAAUGGUGUUGGGAACAGUGGCUGAGAGUCGAGCCAGGGGUGUGAUGUUGAUGGGGCGGCUGGGCCUCUUGGGCUCGGCACCAUUCUUGGUUGGGGGAAGGUAACCCUGGAGAAGGGAGGGAUUGGUCAGUGGAGAAGUGGCUCUGGGAAGGGGCUCUGCUCUUUCAACAAAAGAUAUCUUGUCUCGGGUUAUUCAAUCCCUGGAGGGAAGGCCAACUCGCUCACUCACUGACCAAGGGGAUGGAGGCCCAUUCAGUGGCUCACAAAACUGGAGCACUGUCUAGGGUUAUGUGUGGGGUUCACUCCUGGGGAGAAAGGAGAGCUUAUUUAUUGACUGAGAAAAAAGGAACUCACUCACUGAGUCCCUGAGGAGGAGGAAUAAGGAUGCCUCACCUUUUCUAACUCUCAGCUCUGGGGUCAAGUCUUUCUGGCCGGGUGUACUGGCUCAUGUCUGUAAUCCCAGCACUUUAGGAAGCCGAGGUGGGUGGAUCACCUGAGGUCAGGAGUUCGAGACCAGCCUAGCUAACAUGGUAAAACUCCGUCUCUACUAAAAAUACAAAAAUUAGCCGGGCAGGGUGGUGGGCACCUGUAAUCCCAGCUACUUGGGAGGCUGAGGCAAGAGAAUUGCUUGAACUAGGGAGGCAGAGGUUGCAGUGAGCAGAGAUUGCGCCAUUGCACUCCAGCCUGAGUGACAGAGCGAGUGACUCUGUCUCAAAAAAAAAAAACAAAAAAGAAGUCUUUCUUACAUCUUGGGUUGAACUAAUGUCCUCCUCCGAGUUCUCACAAAACCUUUGUUCAGCCCUAUCUUAAUACUCUCGAGAUUAUAUUGAUUCAGUCAGUAAACUGAGCACCUACUAUGUGCCACGCACUGUGCUAGGCAUGUCUCUUUCAGAAUAGGUUUGUAGUUAAUAUACUGACAGAAGAAGGGGAGAGCAUUUACCGGCAGGGGGCACAGUUUCCCAUUGACCUUGACAAAGAGGUUGGGGGGAAAAUAAUCUUCCUGGGGGCAGCUGGUCUCACAGAGACAGAACCUGGUAAAAGAUGAGAAAGGAAGAAAGAGUGGGAAGAAAUUUCUUAACUUGAUGGCAGAGAGACAGGGAACCCCAGAAAAUCAGUCAUAGAUGCCUGAAGCCCUCAGCAUCCAACAAGAGUCGCAGGGCUGCUGUAGGCAGUGGCAGAGCAGGGACAUCUCGUAAGGGUAUCUGUCAUACCCCUACUUCACUCCUACCCCCAGUGGGUACCCAGGAUAGGCAGGGAGGAUGAACUCACCUUAGCUGCACCUGUAUGGUAUAAUCACAUUUGGCUCCUGGCAGAACCUCUCUGUAACAGGGAGGGAGAUGAAGAGAUGUCAGCAUGUAGCCCCCAGAGGGCAAGGGUGAAUGCACAGAAAGGCUGAAAGUUAGAUGUCCAGGAGAUAGAGAAGAGACACACAGAAGAACAAGAGACAAGUAGGUAUAGGAGGAGGGAUAGGGAAGAGCGCAGGGCAGAAGAGAAUAAAGUCAGAAAGCAGAGACCAGGGAUGAGGCAGGAAGGCUGGAAGAGAUGUACCUGGAUGUAAGAAUCUGCUGCACUUGCUGGGGUGUGAGGGCAAAGGUAAAGUGCGCUUCCUCAAACCGCUGGCUAGAAGUGGAUGCUGAGGAUACAAAGGGGCAGUUAUUCCAAGCCCAUGCACAGGCAGCCACAGAAAUCGCCCCCAUCCCAGGUCGCUGAUCCCAUAGGACUAAAGCCUAAGAAAUGUUUGGGGAACAGGUAGGGAGUCCAGAAGACUAAGGGACCACAAAGAGCCAUACCAAGGGUGGUGGGCCGGAUGAGCUCCCCAUAGACUUCAUAGAAGGGCAAUGGUUUCAUGGUGACAUCAGGGUGCACAGGCUGGGGCAGAGGGGGGUGCAUGUCCACCUCACGCUUGGGGCCCAGCAGGGUGCCAGGGGCCAACAGGGUUGGGGGAAUGGGAGCUAGAGGACCAGGGGAGCCUACAGGAGAGGUGCCAGGGGGCAAAGAGAGAAGGGAGAGAUCAGAGGGCCCCAGGGUCUUCCGGGGAAAGCGUCGUCGGUAAAGCUCUUUGAUCUUCAUCUGGACACUAGGGGCACAGCUGGACUUCAAGAGGUGCAGAGCCUUGGCCAGGAGCUCGUGCUUCCGUCCACUCUUGUUCCGGCCAGCAAAGCCAAGAAGCACCUGGAGCUCAGACACCCGGAAACUCAUCACCAUGUGCUGUGGAGAAAAACAGAGAAGCUUGAGCAUCCUCCCUUGCACAGGCCUGCCCUGCCAAGACAUGGGCUGAGCUACCAGGUGGGCAGUGCCUUUCUCUCCAGCACUGAUGGGAAAGAUGAUGCUUCGCAGCUGGUGGAUUACUGCCAGGUAGUCAACCUAUCCAAAGGGACAUCUCAGUCCCACUUUAGCAACCAUCAGGUCAGCAUCAUCACCACCCCCGAGCUUGAGCAACACUAUUUCCCCAAGCCUGGAAGCAGCCAGAGUGGGGCAGGGAAUGGCAGACAGCAAGCCACCCUCAGACACACCUCCGAGUCCAUACAGCCUCCCGCCUCCAUCCCUGGACUCUCCUUUAAGCUGCUUAUCUCCUCUCUUGCCCUUUCUCAGACUCUCAAACCCAUCCCAGCCUCCUGGGAACAGGAUAGGAGACAGGGAGAAGGAGGGAGAGACAAGAGGAUUCAAGCCAGACAGCCCCAUGGGGAAGAAAGGGGCUAGGUGGCUGGAGGAUUGUGCCCUUCAGCCCACCCCUCCCAACCACCUUAAUUCACCUCGGCUAUUUCCCCCAAGCCUCUGAAGCUUCUGUGGCCAGGGUUUUCAGGUCAGGGUUCAAUGCUCAUAACUUCCCCAGAUCCUUUCUUGGAAUCGUUUAUAUAACCACCCCCUCCCCACAACUUAGUCCUAUUUUUCUGGAAGGGAAACAGGACCAAAACUUGGGUCAGGGAGAUUAACAGUGAAUCACUGAGUCCAAGUAUCCUGCCUGUUUACUCUCUCUGCCAGGAACCAUAAUCUGGCAUCUCUCCUACACAGAGAAAUUAAUACUCCUCUACAACUUACAGCGCCCCCCUAUAGGGGUGGAAGAGGAGAGGGCAGAGCUCUAAACAGAGACCCUGGGUGGAUGAAGGAAAAGCCUCUGAGUCAGGGCACAGAAUCGCAAAUCCCCUGAAGGUAGCUGGGCCCAGUGGCUAGACCUCCAGCCUGCCCAGGACCAUAGCUCCCAUUUCAAAGGGCAGAAGAAAACCAGGAGGCAGGCGGAUGAACUCGGUAGUUUGAGGUUCUAUGAGAUGUCCUCAGAUGUGGUCACCCUCCAAACUCUAUGUAGCAGGAGGGGAGCGCUCUCCUUAGAAGACUCCCUUCUGUGAAUCUCUAGGAGAUCCUGUCAUGUGCAGGGCUUGCUAGCCCUACACAAUUCUUCUCAUAGGAGGCUUUGUCUUGGACCCCUUUUAUGGAAUGUGAUGAGAAACUUGCUCCUCUUUCUCCCCAUCCUUA